UAUUGGUCAAUGGACGCAAGUCUGAACCAGCCAUGCCGCGUGCAGGAUGACGGCUCUAUGGGUUGUAAACUGCUUUUGUACGAGGGUAAACCCCGAUACGUGUAUCGAGUUGAAAGUAUCGUACGAAUAAGGAUCGGCUAACUCCGUGCCAGCAGCCGCGGUAAUACGGAGGAUCCGAGCGUUAUCCGGAUUUAUUAGGUUUAAAGGGUGCGGAGGCGGUUUGAUAAGUUAGAGGUGAAAUGUCGGGGCUCAACCCCGAAACUGCCUCUAAUACUGUUGGACUAGAGAGUAGUUGCCGUGGGCGGAAUGUAUGGUGUAGCGGUGAAAUGCUUAGAGAUCAUACAGAACACCGAUUGCGAAGGCAGCGUACCAAACUAUAUCUGACGUUGAGGCACGAAAGCGUGGGUAGCAAACAGA
rnacentral:rRNA from 1 species